rnacentral:rRNA from 1 species
UACGUAGGGUGCAAGCGUUGUCCGGAAUUAUUGGGCGUAAAGAGCUCGUAGGCGGUCUGUCGCGUCGGCUGUGAAAUCCCGAGGCUCAACCUCGGGUCUGCAGUCGAUACGGGCAAACUUGAGUGUUGCAGGGGAGACUGGAAUUCCUGGUGUAGCGGUGAAAUGCGUAGAUAUCUGGAGGAACACCGGUGGCGAAGGCGGCAUCCUGGACCGGCAUUGACGCUGAGGAGCGAAAGCCAGGGGAGCAAAGCGGG